rnacentral:tRNA from 1 species
AGGAUAAUAGUUAAACUUAUAACAUUUAAUUUGCAUUUAAAAAUUAUUGAUUAAACCAAUUUAUCUUA